rnacentral:rRNA from 1 species
AUGUCGAAGGACGGCGGACCAACGGUCGCCGUGAAGCUGUUCAUCGACAAGGAGAAGAGAAACGUGCUGUUUGCAGAAUCCGACAAGGAGUUCGUCGACGUCCUCUUCAGCUUCCUCACCAUGCCUCUCGGCACCAUCGUUCGUCUCUUCGACAAGCGGUCUCAGGUAGGAUGCCUUGACGAGCUGUACAAGAGCGUUGAGAGUUUCGGUGAAGAUCACUUCCAAACCAAGGCGUGCAAAGCGAUGCUUCUUAGCCCGCUCAAUGCUGAAGCAAUUGAUUGCAAUCCGCUUAAAGUGAAAAUUGCUGACGAAAACCCAAUGUAUCGCUGCAAAAAUGCUAGUUGUGGCUAUUCAUCAUUUAGUCCCUGA